rnacentral:rRNA from 1 species
GACGAACGCUGGCGGCGUGCUUAACACAUGCAAGUCGAACGGAAAGGCCCUGCUUUUGUGGGGUGCUCGAGUGGCGAACGGGUGAGUAACACGUGAGUAACCUGCCCUUGACUUUGGGAUAACUUCAGGAAACUGGGGCUAAUACCGGAUAGGAGAUCCUGCUGCAUGGUGGGGGUUGGAAAGUUUCGGCGGUUGGGGAUGGACUCGCGGCUUAUCCGCUUGUUGGUGGGGUAGUGGCUGCCCAAGGCUUUGACGGGUAGCCGGCCUGGGAGGGUGAACGGCCACAUUGGGACUGCGGUACGGCCCAGACUCCUACGGGAGGCAGCAGGGGGGAAUAUGGCACAAUGGGCGGAAGCCUGAUGCAGCAACGCCGCGUGCGGGAUGACGUCCUUCGGGUUGUAAACCGCUUUCGCCUGUGACGAAGCGGGAGUGACGGUAAUGGGUAAAGAAGCACCGGCUAACUACGUG